UGUAUAGCAACCCUGGGAGCUGGAGGCAUGGCCGCGUGCGCUGCUUGGCGCUGGCACCAGCCUUGUGUGUGCUGUGCACGGUAUGGACGACAGUGAUCCUUGGUGAGCUGCGGGCAGGAGAAACAGCCAGAACAGUUCUGUCCUAAUGCAUGGUGCAGCCAGGGGAGAAGGAAAAGGGACAAAACUCCUGCUCAUCUUUCCUAGAGCUUACACUUCCUGUGGAGGAGGAACUCUGUGCUGUCCCCAUGGAAUGGGAAGGACUUGGAUGCUGCACUAAGACUUCUCUCUUCAGCCCUUAUGAGCAGGUCCUGUGUUAUGUGGAAGCACGCACCAGUCUAGUCUGGAUGAAGAAAGUACGUCAGAAAACCCAAGAGGAUUACUUGCUUUGAAAAUUUCUCUCAUGCAAUUGUUUUAUCUUUCUAAUAAAAAAAAUUGCUUUAAAAAUAAAAUAAUGAUAAGUCAUGCUGGGAAAACCAAUUCCAAUGUGAUAAAACUCUUACAGUGUGAAGCAAGAACCACUCAAUUCAACUGCAAGGAGAAGGACAUGUUAUUUAAUCACACAGAAGGUUAGAGAACAGCAUCAAAUAUGCAUCUUUUAUCUUUGUUUCCAUUUUUUUUCUAGUCCAUUUCUGACUGGAUUUCUUUAGUAUUGCACAGACUUGAGUUACAUCUUGUGCAUCUUGUGGAAGAAAAUAUGUAUCCUAAUAGUGCUUUUGAAUAUAGUUAAAAUGACUUCAGCAAGGCUACAGUAGGUCAGUGGCAGAGCUUGGAAAAGAAGUUAGGUGAUGUUUUGCCCAGUUCUAUAUAUUUUAAUUAGCAAACUGGCCUGCCUCCCUGAAUUGCAAUGGCAUUGUGAUACCUAAAUGUUCAGAGGCCUAAACUUUAUAUACUAACCCUAACACAGAGAAUUUCUUGAACAGACUUUAAGAAAAUAUUGCUAUAGCUUCUUUACCAGUUGUGCUCUAACCUGCUUUUUGUGUGGUAUUCAAGGAUAAUUUUGACAAUAGAAUUAUCUUUUAGGGAAUAUAAAAUACCAGGUAUUAAAAGGGGUAGAUCUAGACAGGGCAGGAAUUUGCUGUCAGGAUGAUGUUCUAAAACAACUUCUGAAAAAUUAACAUGCUACGAAAAUAAUUUUUUUUUUUAAUAUUAUGCUCUUUUAUUUUUCUUUUAGAAAAGAAAAUGAAGCCUUCCAUUAUAAGACUAUUUAGUUUUGAGUAAAUUGUGUGUUUCCCUUUUGUGGUGUAUUUCUUUAGUCAAUUUAUUUUUUGCAUGCCUAUUGCUCCCAGUCUCAGCUGGUCUGAUCUUGCUUGCCAACUGGUAUUUGCCACUAAGAUGCAGAAUCAUAGUUUUCUUUGAGAAGCUUGGUACAUGAUGGCAGUCAUUGUCUCAUAGAAGAGGAUGAAGGAUACAGACGAUCACCCCUGUGGGUCUCAUGAAAAAUGCAAUAGAGAAAGAGCCCAGCAAAUUGAAACAAUAUUUUUCAAUUCAUGAAUAGUAAAAAUUCGAAUGUCUUCCCAAAAUAACCCUGAAGUUUUAUUUCUUAUUGAAAAUUCUUUUUAAAAAUCCCAACAAAACAAAACAGUUGAUAUUUACUUUAUCAUCCCAAGUUAGGAAAAAAUGUUGAACAAAAAAGUUUUUUAUCAGAUUGAAUUUCCAUAUUUUUUUCAGCUCUAAUUAUGAUAAGGUUGUACAAGGAAUAAUUUUAUUCUUUCUAUUCUGUCUCAUCCUUUUUCCAUCCUAGACAAUGAAAAUAGUUUAAUCUAGCAGCUUUUGCAUUGUGGUCUGUGCACCAGAGCUGGCUUGUAAAACUUUUUCUUUCAGCGGUUUUAUUGUUCAAGAACUGAUGCUUCCUGUUACUUCUCGCCAUGCAUUUUGGUUUUGUGAAUGAGUAUGCUUAGAUAAAAGAAUAAUACAAAUCAUGUCUAUAUCUUUUGUACAGCUUUAUGUUAUACUUAAAUAAAAAUUAUACCAGAACUGCAGAGGUAACAACUCUUCUGAAAGACUGAGUUAACAGGAAUAAGAACAGUCAGCAGUGAAUAAGAGAAAUCUGGGAUGCCUUCACUUCAGAUAUUCAGCAAGGGAGAGGAAACACCACAGGUAAAACAUAAGAUGGAGUGUUGCUCUUACUGCACAUAGUUUAAACUUGAUGGUAUAAGAACUGUGCUUUGGGCUGCUUUUCAAGGAAGGGAAAACGAAUGGGGUUUUAGUUCAUGGCAGGGACUAGCAAACACAGUAGGAUCAAUUGCAAUUUAAAUAGAUAAGUGAAAGCUGCAUGAUCUUACUUGCUGUGUCAUACUGAUUUUCAUUUCCAUGAUGCCUUUUACAGUUUUGUUUUUCUAGUGUUUUAUGCUUGUGUAGUUUGAAGGUUACUGUGUACGUGAUUAGAUUCACUCCCUACUGGGAUAUAGGCCAAGAUAUUCAAAGUGAUUUUUUAUUUUGAGCACCUCCAUUUUUUAAGGGUCCAAACCAGAGAAGUUUUGGAGUAGGGAAACUCAGUUGCUUGUGUGGUUUGUCAACAUGACAUGGAAAGACAAAAGAAGAAAAAAUGGGUGUGAACAAAAUCCUUGUUCAUUUUUCAUUGUGUCGGUGUCUGAUCUUUGGUUUUCUGAAUCAAGCUGACAAGAUUUGGGUACUGCUGUCCUGGAAACUGGAAUAUGU